CUGUGAACCCCUAAACUGCGUUGCUUGUAAAACGACUCUCUGGGGAGUAAAAUCCUCAAGAGACAUUGGGCCGACACUGCUAGUCCAAACACCAGUGGUGAAGCUGAAGGCCGAAAUGUCCUGCAACAGGUUCCUGAUGUGCUUUUUCACCAAGUCAUGCAGCUUUGGUAAUGCGGUAUCUGUAAUGUGGUGACGGCUGGGAAUCUCAUACUUCGGCUCAAGUACACCAAGAAGACGACGAAAUCCUGUAUUAUCUACAACUGACAACGGUUGGUCAUCAAGAGCAAUGAACUGGCGUGAUCAGGUGGGCGUGGUUUUGGAGCGUGUGUGCGUGUCAAUCAACGGUCAGUGGGAUGGACUGACCAUUGACAAACAGCGAGACAGUGCCUUUCAGGUUUUCUGCUACUGGCCAUGCACAAAUUGUGUCAGCGAGAGUGAAAAAAGAAGAAAUGUCUGACAAGGGAUCCUGGCAGAGAUACCAAGUCUCUGUUUUCGGAUAUGCAGAGAACUACGGUGAAGACAAAAAGAAGGUUCGACUUGCUACAGUACCAAAUCAUCUGGAGAGUGAUGAUGAACCCGUUCAGCGACCGAAUUUAAUGAAAUUGUGAAAAUUUCUAUAAAAUUUCUCAUUCAAUAGUGUACCAACGUUAUUAAUAGGCACUGUUUCAAACAGGAUCAAAUGUUUGCUUGUCCAAAUAUAUCCAAAAAACCGAACGAUUUCCAUGGGGUGUACUUAUUUUUACAUAUGACUGUAAAUAUUGUAUACGUGGUUUUUUUAUGAUAUCUUUUUAGAUUAUAUUAAACACUUAAGCUCUUGAAUUUGAUUCUAUUGUAAGAUCUUAGAAUUUGGUUUAAAGUUCAUAAAAUAAAUGAUUAAUUGCUUCUUAAGUUUCGUC
ensembl:lncRNA